GCGUCCUUGGUGUAACGGUAACACACACAAUCUAUUAAUUGCAGUCUAGUAGGAUUUAGAUUGGGUCCGGGGUUCAACUCCCCGAGGGCGCA